rnacentral:ncRNA from 1 species
UAAAAUGUAACAUUUUGUAGGUUCUGGAGUGUGAUCAAUAAUUUACAUUACUAUGUGCAAAAGCAUAGUAAAAAAUAAAUGUAUGGCUUACUUCAGGGAUUGCUGGUUUGCUCAAUAUUUGGAAGUCUAUUCGUGUAAGCAGUCCAGAGCCACCUGGAUAAUACAGCUAAAAAGAAUGGAAUAGGACCAUGGCUUUAUUUGUUGGUCUAUGGAACUGAGACCAUGGUUAAGAGUGACAGCCAGGAGCAUUUGAAUUUCCCCAAUGGGGGUUGAAAUUCUUGGGACUAGUGCAAGAAGGAUCAGAGCAAAAGCAUUUGCCAAGAUUGUUUUAAUUAAUUAAGAAUGAGAGAGUUUUAAGGAUAAUCAAAUACCAUGGUAAUUCUGACCAUAAAAUAAUUAAUGGUGACUAGUGAUACAAUGGCAUUAUUUCCAUGACCCUCUGGGAAGGUUCUGGAAAGCCAAAGUCUUUGGAUU